GACGUAGGGCGCGAGCGUUGUCCGGAUUUAUUGGGCGUAAAGAGCUCGUAGGCGGCUUGUCGCGUCGACCGUGAAAACUUGGGGCUCAACCCCAAGCCUGCGGUCGAUACGGGCAGGCUCGAGUUCGGUAGGGGAGACUGGAAUUCCUGGUGUAGCGGUGAAAUGCGCAGAUAUCAGGAGGAACACCGGUGGCGAAGGCGGCUUUCUGGACAGAUACCGACGCUGAGGCACGAAAGCUAGGGGAGCAAACAGG
rnacentral:rRNA from 1 species